rnacentral:lncRNA from 1 species
GCACCAAUGGAUUUUGAUCGGAGGUAAGAAUCCGAAAGGUGUGGAGGCCGUGGCAGGGCCUAGGGUUUCUUAUGAACAGACAAUAAAGGAGGAAGAGAGAAGAAGGAAAACAAAAGAGAGAAUGAAAAUAUCAGAACAAAAAAAAAAGAAAAAAAAAAGGAGAGAAUAAAGGGGAAGAGAAAUUUGAGAGAGAUGCAUAAAGAAAUAUAGAGUUUUUUUGGAAAAAUAGUCAACAGAUUAAUUCUUUUUGGAAAAUGGGAAAGAACGCGAUGUGAAAAGAUAGCAGAGAAAAACGGGCAGCCUGACUACAAAUCCCACGGCUUCUUUUCAUUUAUUAUUCCUGUUCUUUUUUAAAACAGCUUCUUUUCAUUUUUAGUCAAACGGGGCCAAAUUAAUUCAUAACUUUUCUUGGUCCUAUAAUUCAAAUUGGGGAAAUUGGGGGAAAAGAUAUCAAAAGGAUCUAAAAUAUUAACCUCCAUUUUAGGACUUAAGGGUAAAAAGCUUAUAAAAACGCUCUUAAAUCUAGUUAAGCAAAUAUUUUUCGUAACUAAAAAACCAAAGAGGCUGUUUGGUUAGGAUUAUUGGUAUGGAGGAGAAGCCCCACGAGCAGUU